CCUACGGGUGGCAGCAGUGGGGAAUAUUGCACAAUGGGGGAAACCCUGAUGCAGCGACGCCGCGUGAGUGAAGAAGGAAUUCGGGAUGUAAAGCUCUAUCAGCAGGGAAGAAAAUGACGGUACCUGAGUCAGAAGCCCAGGCUAACUACGGGCCAGCAGCCGCGGUAAUACGUAGGGGGCAAGCGUUAUCCGGAUUUACUGGGUGUAAAGGGAGCGUAGACGGCAGUGCAAGUCUGGAGUGAAAGGCGGGGGCUCAACCCCCGGACUGCUCUGGAAACUGUACGGCUGGAGUGCAGGAGAGGUAAGUGGAAUUCCUCGUGUAGCGGUGAAAUGCGUAGAUAUUAGGAGGAACACCAGUGGCGAAGGCAGCUUACUGGACUGUCACUGACGUUGAUGCUCGAAAGCGUGGGGAGCAAACAGGAUUAGAUACCCUAGUAGUC
rnacentral:rRNA from 1 species